rnacentral:rRNA from 1 species
CGAUCCAAGCAAUUGGAUAGUGGCGAACGGCGGAGUAAUACAUAAGCAACGUGCCUCGAAGACUGGGAUAGUCAGUGGAAACGCUGGGUAAUACCGGAUGUGGCGACCAGGCGGCAUCGCAGGGUCGUUAAAUGGUUUUUCGCUUCGUGAGCGGCUUAUGGCCUAUCAGGUAGUUGGUGGGGUAACGGCCUACCAAGCCGACGACGGGUAGCGGGUCUGAGAGGAUGAUCCGCUCGAGUGGGACUGAGACACGGCCCACACACCUACGGGUGGCAGCAGUUGGGAAUCUUGCACAAUGGGGGAAACCCUGAUGCAGCGACGCCGCGUGGAGGAUGACGGGUCUAGGCCUGUAAACUCCUUUUGUCGGGAAAGACUUAGGACGGUACCCGACGAAUAAGCACCGGCUAACUACGUGCCAGCAGCCGCGGUAAGACGUAGGGUGCGA